rnacentral:lncRNA from 1 species
CUGGCACAGAAUUAGAGUAUACAGAAUGGAUGCUUGCCUAGGUUUAUCUGCUUGGAGAGCUACUGGGAAUGGAAGCUCAGCCCCUUUCCUCCCAAAGACAGAAGGGAAGAAUAGAAGAUGCUAGGACAGUAUGAUGUCAGGGAGAGGAAGGAUGAAGGGAGACUUUUGGAGGCAGUCACUUUUUCCUGGUCUUAUCCCUGUCUGGAACUUUCUGCGCUGGAGAGACUUGCUGGGUGAGUGACUGAAGCUGAAGGAAGAGGCUAAAGUUGGUGGAUUUCUGACUGAAGACACCAUUUGGAACCUCCACAUGGAGAUUGGGUCUUGAGGGAGCCCCUUACCAGGGCAGAGCCAGACUUCACAGGAUCAGCACUUAGGUUGAUAGGCCAGAUAAUUCUCUACCUCCUUCCUAUAUUUCACAAUUUAAUAUCUCUACCUUGUUGUAAAUAAAAGCUGCUAACAGUUUACCUGACUUAAGGGA